rnacentral:rRNA from 1 species
UACGAAGGGGGCUAGCGUUGUUCGGAUUUACUGGGCGUAAAGCGCACGUAGGCGGUUUGUUAAGUCAGGGGUGAAAUCCCAGAGCUCAACUCUGGAAACUGCCUUUGAUACUGGCAAGCUAGAGUCCGGAAGAGGUAAGUGGAACUCCUAGUGUAGAGGUGGAAUUCGUAGAUAUUAGGAAGAACACCAGUGGCGAAAGGCGGCUUACUGGUCCGGAACUGACGCUGAGGUGCGAAAGCGUGGGGAGCAAACAGG